GACAGAGGUGCCGAGCGUUAGGCGGAAUCACUGGGCUUAAAGCGUGUGUAGGCGGGCCGUUAAGUGUCUUGUGAAAUCCCCCGGCUCAACCGGGGAAUUGCUGGGCAUACUGGCGGUCUUGAGCAAUCUAGGGGCAGAUGGAACAAGUGGUGGAGCGGUGAAAUGCGCAGAUAUCAGGAGGAACACCGAUGGCGAAGGCAGGUCUCUGGGCCACUACUGACGCUGAGAAGCGAAAGCAUGGAGAGCGAACAGG
rnacentral:rRNA from 1 species